GACAGAGGAUGCAAGCGUUAUCCGGAAUGAUUGGGCGUAAAGCGUGCGCAGGCGGUUUUGUAAGUCUGUCGUGAAAUCCCCGGGCUCAACCUGGGAAUUGCGAUGGAGACUGCAAGGCUAGAAUCUGGCAGAGGGGGGUAGAAUUCCACGUGUAGCAGUGAAAUGCGUAGAGAUCGGAAAGAACACCAACGGCGAAAGCACUCUGCUGGGCCGACACUGACACUGAGAGACGAAAGCUAGGGGAGCGAAUGGG
rnacentral:rRNA from 1 species